ACCAGCCAUGCCGCGUGCAGGAUGACGGUCCUAUGGAUUGUAAACUGCUUUUGUACAGGAAGAAACCUCCCUACGAGUAGGGACUUGACGGUACUGUAAGUAAUAAGGAUCGGCUAACUCCGUGCCAGCAGCCGCGGUAAUACGGAGGAUCCGAGCGUUAUCCGGAAUUAUUGGGUUUAAAGGGUUCGUAGGCGGCUUUGUAAGUCAGUGGUGAAAUUUCCUAGCUUAACUAGGACACUGCCAUUGAUACUGCAUAGCUUGAAUAAUAUGGAAGUAACUAGAAUAUGUAGUGUAGCGGUGAAAUGCUUAGAUAUUACAUGGAAUACCAAUUGCGAAGGCAGGUUACUACGUAUUUAUUGACGCUGAUGAACGAAAGCGUGGGGAGCGAACAGGAUUAGAUACCCUGGUAGUCCACGCCGUAAACGAUGGAUACUAGCUGUUCGGUUUUCGGACUGAGUGGCUAAGCGAAAGUGAUAAGUAUCCCACCUGGGGAGUACGUUCGCAAGAAUGAAACUCAAAGGAAUUGACGGGGGCCCGCACAAGCGGUGGAGCAUGUGGUUUAAUUCGAUGAUACGCGAGGAACCUUACCAGGGCUUAAAUGUAGAUUGACAGAUUUGGAAACAGAUUUUUCUUCGGACAAUUUACAAGGUGCUGCAUGGUUGUCGUCAGCUCGUGCCGUGAGGUGUCAGGUUAAGUCCUAUAACGAGCGCAACCCCUAUUG
rnacentral:rRNA from 1 species